GAUUUUAAAUUUGCGAAAUCAUGGAUGAUUUUAAUGAUGAGGUGCUGCUGGAAAUGGAAAGGCUGUUGGAUGAUGGCGAGUAUGUUCUACAAGAGGUGUAC